UGGGGAAUUUUGGACAAUGGGGGAAACCCUGAUCCAGCCAUCCCGCGUGUGCGAUGAAGGCCUUCGGGUUGUAAAGCACUUUUGGCAGGAAAGAAACGUCGCGGGUUAAUACCCCGCGGAACUGACGGUACCUGCAGAAUAAGCACCGGCUAACUACGUGCCAGCAGCCGCGGUAAUACGUAGGGUGCAAGCGUUAAUCGGAAUUACUGGGCGUAAAGCGUGCGCAGGCGGUUCGGAAAGAAAGAUGUGAAAUCCCAGAGCUUAACUUUGGAACUGCAUUUUUAACUACCGGGCUAGAGUGUGUCAGAGGGAGGUGGAAUUCCGCGUGUAGCAGGUGAAAUGCGUAGAUAUGCGGAGGAACACCGAUGGCGAAGGCAGCCUCCUGGGAUAACACUGACGCUCAUGCACGAAAGCGUGGGGAGCAAACAGGAUUAGAUACCCUGGUAGUCCACGCCCUAAACGAUGUCAACUAGCUGUUGGGGUCUUCGGACCUUGGUAGCGCAGCUAACGCGUGAAGUUGACCGCCUGGGGAGUACGGUCGCAAGAUUAAAACUCAAAGGAAUUGACGGGGUCGAU
rnacentral:rRNA from 1 species